UUUGACCGAUCUCACUCGGAUGGCAUUGCUGAAGUUCAUGCAAAGUAAAUGGUCAUUUUCCCGACCAUUGCCUCUAUAAAGGGGAAUGAGAUAAGGCAUCUAAUCGGGUAAGGCGAAACAGAAAGGAAAACAAGAUAAAAAAAGGGAGAGAAAUUAAGGUGGUACGGUGGUGAUGAUGAUGAAGAAGAUUGUAGUUGCGAUGUUGGUUCUCUGUGUUUUCAUUUCACAUAUGGACGUUGUUGAGCCCUCGGCUUUCGACUGCUACGAUGCUUGCUCCACCGGCUGCGUUCAAAGCAAUACAAGACUAAUGGCGCGUUGUGACCGCAAGUGCCAGAUUAAAUGCAGUCCAGAUUCCAGUACUGAGGCUGCCAAUCUUGGAUGAAAUCUCCGAAGGAAAGGAAGCUCAAGGCUGUGUGGGUGCAGACCGACGAUCAAUGCAAGUGUUGGUUCUGUGUUUUGUCCACUCGUUUUCUAUGUAUGAAUAAAAGAAGUCCCUUAUGAUUUAUGAGCAAAAUAAAUACAUCAUGAACUAGUAUAUUCCCAUAUCUCUGAAUAGUUUGAUUCUAUACCAGCAAUUUUGAUUGAAUAAAUGGUGAAUAUUAACACA